rnacentral:tRNA from 1 species
GCCUGAGUGGCUCAGUCGGUUGAGCAUCUGACUUUGGCUCAGGUCAUGAUCUGGCAUUCAUGGGUUUGAGCCCUACAUAAGGCU